GAUGGUUUGGUCGAGUGGUCAAAGGCACCAGAUUUAGGCUCUGGUCCGAAAGGGCGUGGGUUCAAAUCCCAAAGCCGUCA
rfam:Ipomoea nil DNA, scaffold: scaffold3210, cultivar: Tokyo-kokei standard.